CAAUUAAUAAUUUCACCCAAUACGUACAGGAAAUAACGUCAUAAUAAUAUUGGUACCCAUGGCAACUAGAUUCCAGCAACACCACCACAUCUUGAAGGCAAGAUGGAGGAUAUCUGUAUUCUGUACUGCACCUCCUGGGUCUAUACUCCACUACUGUGGCGUCAGCGGCACAGCUACUAGUGUUGAGCUUACUAUUUAGGCCUGACUGUGUCACCAUUAAGCAAUAUAUAUUAUUCAAGAACCUUUAGUAUUAUGGAUCACUGUAAGUGCUUGUCAUAUUUGUGUAUUACUGUUACUAUUAUUAUGCCUUAUUACUAUAAUUACUAUAUUGUCUAUUAUUCAAUGCCCUUUGUAGCAUUUAUCUGUCAUUAACUUGUUAACAUUAAGCUCUUUCUUUAUGUCUCUAACCCUUCCUAUAGUACAUACCCAGGGUUUCCCACUAAGCAUGCUAAGUGAGCUAAACAGUAUUCUUCAUGAGUUGAAAAGCACAUGUAUGUACAUGUACAGACAUUCGUACAUGUAUAUGGCAUUUGGAGCAACUUUAAAAAUUUGUAAAAAAC